UUCCGCCCCAGACGGGCCCCACCCCGCUCUCAGGCCGGGCCCUAAUCCCCGCCCCGCACACGUCACGCCCCCGGCCUGCAGGCCACGCCCCUUCUGCAAUUCCCAAGGCGGUGCCUGGCUUUCCGCGCCCCACUGUGGAGCGCAGGGUUCCGGAGCGCAGGAAGGAAGUCUUCCUCGCUGUCCAUCCCUCCGGGGGGCGCCCGGGGCAGCUGAGAGCUGGGAAAGGACCAAGCAGAGCCGUGGUGGGAGCACCAGGUUGCCCCACUCGAGGACGAUGAUCUUGAGAACGGAGGACAAGGACAACCUGGAAAGAAUCCCUAGAAGGAGUCCACAGAACUCUAGAACCCAGUGACAUCCUGCCCGCCAUCCUCUCCCACCCAUUCUGAGAUGGAUUCUGUCCCCUGCCAGGACCCUGGCUGGUCCCAGAAAUGACUCCGUUAAACACAGCCUCAGGGCAGAAUCCUGUCUGGGUUCCCACCUGCAUGUGUGCGCAGAGGGAGCAGAAGGGCUGUCAGGAGGUGGCUGCAGCAGGGUUGCUCAGAUGGGCACUGAGGGGCGGAUGGAGCCCAAGCUCUGGGGGUUUCUACUGCUGUUAAAUGUGAUUGCUAUGGCAACUGCUAUAAUUACAAAGACUGUACAGCCAGCUGUUCCUGACUGCCCUGGGGAGUUUACAAAAAAUAGGUAAGCAUGAGGUAUUAAAUUCCUGACUCAAGAUAAAGACACGGUGAAAUUCUUAUCUCUAUGGCCACAGGACACACGAGGUUUUUCUCCAGAUCCUAAACACAGAGGUGCAGGUCACAGUAUUGUGGCUGCAGAGUUUCACUUGCAACCUCGAUGGCUUGCUAGGAUGGAGACGCUGGAUGGGAAGGCAUAGGAUGGGACAUUUGUGAUGAAGACAAUUGGACAGAUACAGAUGAGGCUGAUUCCAAAUCCCAGCACUCCCUGAAAGCAGUAGGGGUGGAAACAGGGUAACCAAGGAGGUGGGAAAUCCUCCUUUAUGCAUUGGGAAGAACCUGGCGACCGUGCAUGAGGCUGAAUUCUACCUACCGGCAGCAAGCAAAUGCAAGGCCACGUGCAAGCCGGGAUGUAGCUCAGCGGCACAGCACCUGCCUGGCAAGCAAGAGGUCGUUAGUUUGAUUCUUGGUACCAAGAAAAACAAAACAAAACAAAACCGCUCAAUACCUCAAAAGCAGUUCAUCAAAGCCAUAGUAACACCAGUCAUUGUCCAAAAGAAUGCAUUUGACUUGAAUAGAUGACACUGAUGUGAUUAGAAUAUUAAUAAUCUUUAAAAGAUUAUAGUUGUUUUGGUUUUGGUAAUUUUUUUUCAGACAAGGUCUCACCAUAUAACUUAGACCAGUCUUGAACUCACGGUGUAGCCCAGGCUGGCCUCGAACUCACAGUGACUCUGGGUCACAAGGACCCCCAGGAGGAAGCUGACCAGUGGUAAGGGAUUAGUUAAGAAAUAUUCAAUGGGUAGGGAAGAAACUGCUCAGAAGGAAGAAAAACAGUGAUGGGAAAAAGGGGAACGGGAGGAAAGGAAAAGAAAAUAUGUAUAUAUACACAAGAUAGUUAAGACAGUUAUGCAGCUGGCUUCCGUUAGCUCACUGAAAAGACAGAUUUAUGCUAACACAUUUAUGGACAUUUCAUGCCUAAACUUGUACUUAGAGCAACUACUCUAACAAUAUGCAAUGUAUUAAAAAUUUUUACUCUCCUA